rnacentral:misc_RNA from 1 species
GUAGGUGAACCUGCGGAAGGAUCAUUAACGAAUCUUCAAAGUCGGCCGUUGUCUGUGCUGGUGUCUCUGACACAUGUGCACGCUUUGGUCGCAAACCCACACACACCUGUGCAUACCUUUGGUCGGAUAACGGUCCCAGUCUUGACGAUUGGGCCUCAACGGCCAAGUUUUUACAAACACAUAAUGUAACGGAAUGUCUUAUCGUGCAGUAAUGCGCAACUAUAAACAACUUUCAACAACGGAUCUCUUG